CGGAGUGGACGCAUCACUGGUGUUCGGGUUGUCAUGCCAAUGGCAUUGCCCGGUAGCUAAAUGCGGAAGAGAUAAGUGCUGAAAGCAUCUAAGCACGAAACUUGCCCCGAGAUGAGUUCUCCCUGACCCUUUAAGGGUCCUGAAGGAACGUUGAAGACGACGACGUUGAUAGGUCGGGUGUGUAAGCGUAGCGAUACGUUGAGCUAACCGAUACUAAUGAACCGUGAGGCUUAACCUUACAACGCCGAAG
rnacentral:rRNA from 1 species